AUUGAACGCUGGCGGCAGGCCUAACACAUGCAAGUCGAACGGUAACAGGAAACAGCUUGCUGUUUCGCUGACGAGUGGCGGACGGGUGAGUAAUGUCUGGGAAACUGCCUGAUGGAGGGGGAUAACUACUGGAAACGGUAGCUAAUACCGCAUAACGUCGCAAGACCAAAGAGGGGGACCUUCGGGCCUCUUGCCAUCGGAUGUGCCCAGAUGGGAUUAGCUAGUAGGUGGGGUAACGGCUCACCUAGGCGACGAUCCCUAGCUGGUCUGAGAGGAUGACCAGCCACACUGGAACUGAGACACGGUCCAGACUCCUACGGGAGGCAGCAGUGGGGAAUAUUGCACAAUGGGCGCAAGCCUGAUGCAGCCAUGCCGCGUGUAUGAAGAAGGCCUUCGGGUUGUAAAGUACUUUCAGCGGGGAUGAAGGGAGUAAAGUUAAGACCUUUGCUCAUGGACGUUACCCGCAGAAGAAGCACCGGCUAACUCCGU
rnacentral:rRNA from 1 species